UGAGCUCUCUGACUUACUGUUGAUUGCUUUCAUUAAGGUUAUCCUAUUACUCAUUUGCUGCUAGCUGUUGCAUAAUAUUUGUGUUAAAAUCUUUUCUGUUUCAAGUUGAUAUAAAAAUUCAAGGGUAUAAGGGAUAGAUGCUCAGGCAUAUUAUAUUGACCUAACAGCCAGUUGGGCACAGUCAGGUGCUGACAGCCCGGACAGGGACAGUCCUGGUGAGAAGAUGGGAGCAAUGGACCAAACGUGGGAGUCAUGGGUGGACAAAUAGGAGAUGACCAAACCAGGGAUCUGCUCCCAGGGCACCGAAACCUGGGAAACAGUCCACAGGCAAGAACCAGCAAUUGUGGAUCUGUCUCGCUGCCAGGAGGGAUUUACACAAGUAGAAAGGGAAACAGACACUGACUCUUGUUCCUUUUCCACACUUGCAGCAGUCGUCGGUGCACAAGCCUGAAGUUUCUGUUUGGAGUCCUGCAAAAGGAGAGAGUUGCAUCUGUCAAUAAUUUGUCAAAACCAAGAAGUUCGAGCUUUCCUUAUUUCAGUUAUACCUAACAAGACUGGGAGAUUUAGCAAGAGUUUCUAAGUUUCAGUGAGCAGACAUUUAGAAAAGAUCCAAGCACUUUUUUA